UCUCACAUUAAAAAAAAAAGUUCUUACAUUAUUAUUUUUCUUCUUCCUCAUUCUGGGCCUUUGACCCGCAUUGGGGAUGUUUACUCAGUAUAGAACCAGAGGAGGACCAAUUGUUCUUUCCGCAUGGGUGGAAAGAACAAGCAUUUUCCCUGCACUUUUGUUGGGCUAGUAUAUGCACCCUCCUCAGUUUUUCCCUAGCACAAACAGUGUUUUUUGUUCAUUCCCAGUACAAGAGCCUCGGUAAAUCCACCCUAUUUAAGGCAUAUUAUUGAAUACAGCAAAAAAGGAAAAAGUAAAGCUUAUUAUUACAUUUCCUUUUGUUAUAGUUUCUAAUGCAAUAAUAGACAGUUGGCAUACAAGUGUUGGUGGGUGUACAGUUUAUCUGUCUCUCACAUUUGUCCAAACAUUUCAAGUGUUUGUCAGCCAUUAAAGGGAACCGCAAGUCUGAGCUGGAGAACAGAACACACAAUCGAGAGUGAAACACCUUCAGCAGGCGAGAGUCCCACAUCUGAAUAGCCCAGUGGCUAGAGCAUUGUCCCAAGAGAUAAGAGACCUUUGUUCAAAUCCCUUCUCUCAUUAGGUAGAGAUGAGGAAUUGAACUGAGGUCUCCUGUAUCCUGGGUGAGUGCUUCAGCCAUUGGGCUAAAGUUAUAAAGGAGGUUUCUCCUCCAGCAUUUCUUGUAAAAAACAACUUAAGUGCUUGACUCCAGGCAGGGCCAGCUCCAGGGUUUUGGCUGCCCUAAGCAGCCCAAAAAAAUAAAAUAAAAUAAAAUAAAUAAAUAAAGCCACGAUUGCGAUCUGCGGCGGCAAUUCGGCAGGAGGUCCUUCGCUCCAAGUGGGAGUGAGGGACCGUCCGCCGAAUUGCUGCCGAAUACCUGGACGUGCCGCCCAUCUCCGGGGCAGCUGCCCCAAGCACCUGCUUGCCAGGCUGGUGCCUGGAGCCGGCCCUGACUCCAGGAGAGGGUUCCCAAAACUCAACUCUGCCCCCACUCUGUAAAAGUUCUUAGUGUUGAUUGCAUUUCUUAGUUUUCUAAAGGGACCUUCCUAGCCUUCUCUGAAGUAAUCUCAUUAAUUAACUCAUCCCAGUCUAUCUGUUUUGCUUCCAAGUUCUCUGUUGAAAUAACUGCCAGAUCAUUUAACCUUUUUCUGUCCUGUGGAUGCUCUUGCUUAGUUUUAGCUCACUGAAAUUCCUUUCAUUAGCAGCUACAGUUACAGGAAGACCACAACAUUAUACAGUGCUGUUUCUUGCAUCUAAAGACCUUUUGUGAAUGUAGCUAAGGAGACCAACGGGUGCCUUCAUUUCCAAGUCAUCCUUAACAAUUUGCUUGCAAAGACUGGUGAAAAGCUCAAUCUUGUUCUCAACACUCCAGAGUUUACAUCCUCAGGAUAGCUGCUUGACAGGAAAGUGGUUUCCCCCACGCAUCAAGAAGGACUAUCAAGACUUAAUGGGCCAUCUAGCACAAAAAGCUUUGUUGAUUGCUGCAUCCACCCAUGAAGAAGUUGCAUGCAGGAGUCCUUGUACCAUCAGUUGAACUCCAGGAGAAAGUGAUAUAAAGAUGCUCACAAGAAGAAAUGCUCACAGGGCCAGAGACACUAAACUAAGGCAGAGAUCCCCAGGGGUUAUCCCUGGGUCUGCCCUGAAAGAUAUUUUGAAAUGACAGAUUACUACAUCUCUGUCAUCGUUAGGAACCAUAGAUAGUAAUUCAUUUGUGUAUAUGCUUGCUUGAAUCUGUAAAUAACUCUUUUAUUUGUUUUUCCUGGUUAAUAAACCUUUAGUCAGUUUAUUACA